rnacentral:rRNA from 1 species
AUGCACGCUGGCGGCGUGCCUAAUACAUGCAAGUCGAGCGAACAGAUGAGGAGCUUGCUCCUCUGACGUUAGCGGCGGACGGGUGAGUAACACGUGGAUAACCUACCUAUAAGACUGGGAUAACUUCGGGAAACCGGAGCUAAUACCGGAUAAUAUAUUGAACCGCAUGGUUCAAUAGUGAAAGACGGUUUUGCUGACACUUAUAGAUGGAUCCGCGCCGCAUUAGCUAGUUGGUAAGGUAACGGCUUACCAAGGCGACGAUGCGUAGCCGACCUGAGAGGGUGAUCGGCCACCCUAGAACUGAGACACGGUCCAGACUCCUACGGGAGGCAGCAGUAGGGAAUCUUCCGCAAUGGGCGAAAGCCUGACGGAGCAACGCCGCGUGAGUGAUGAAGGUCUUCGGAUCGUAAAACUCUGUUAUUAGGGAAGAACAAAUGUGUAAGUCACUAUGCACGUCUUGACGGUACCUAAUCAGAGAGCCACGGCUAACUACGCG